rnacentral:rRNA from 1 species
CGCGUAGGCGGUGCGGUAAGUCUUCUGUGAAACCUCUGGGCUUAACUCAGAGCCUGCAGGGGAAACUGCCGGGCUGGAGUGUGGGAGAGGCGAGUGGAAUUCCCGGUGUAGCGGUGAAAUGCGUAGAUAUCGGGGGGAACACCAGUGGCGAAGGCGGCUCGCUGGACCACAACUGACGCUGAGGCGCGAAAGCUAGGGGAGCAAACAGGAUUAGAUACCCUGGUAGUCCUAGCCUUAAACGAUGAAUGCUUGGUGUGAUCGGUAUCCAAUCCGAUUGUGCCGCAGUUAACGCGAUAAGCAUUCCGCCUGGGGAGUACGGUCGCAAGGCUGAA